AACCCUGUAGCGCAAUGGAUAGUGUGUUGGACUUCUAAUCCAAAGGUUGUGGGUUCGAAUCCCACCUGGGAUG
rnacentral:tRNA from 1 species